rnacentral:rRNA from 1 species
GACGAACGCUGGCGGCGUGCCUAAUACAUGCAAGUAGGACGCAGUUGCGAACGGGUGAGUAACGCGUAGGUAACUACCUAUUAGAGGGGGAUAACUAUUGGAAACGAUAGCUAAUACCGCAUACUAGUAGAUGGACCUGCGGUGUAUUAGCUAGUAGGUAGGGUAAUGGCCUACCUAGGCAACGAUACAUAGCCGACCUUGGAGGGUGAUCCGCCACACUGGGACUGGGAAACGGGCCCGACCCCUACGGGAGGCAGCAGGAGGGAAUCUUCGGCAAUGGGGGGAACCCUGACCGAGCAACGCCGCGGGAGUUGAGAAGGGUUUCGGGGCGGAAAGCUCUGUUGUUCAGGAAGCGGUACUUAAACAGAAAGGGACGGCUAACUACGUGCCAGCAGCCGCGGUAAUAC